rnacentral:lncRNA from 1 species
CCUCUCCUAAGGCUCUGAGAAUAGAGAAUGUGUGGGAGGUCACUGACUCCAUAGGACACAAACAAAACAACCACAAGGGUAGCCAAGUGUUACCUACUGUAAGGAAGCCUCGAUAAGAAGGUCUGCUGGGUGCGGUGGCUCACACCUGUAAUCCCAGCACUUUGGGAGGCCAAGGUGGGCGGAUCACCUUGAGGUCAGGAGUUCAAGACCAGACUGGCCAACAUGGUGAAACCCUGUCUCUACUAAAGACACAAAAAGUUAGCCUGCUGUGGUGGUGGGCACCUGUAGUCUCAGGAGGCUGAGGCAGGAGAAUCGCCUGAACCCAGGAGGCGGAGGUUGCAGUGAGCUGAGAU